rnacentral:rRNA from 1 species
UACGUAGGGAGCAAGCGUUGUCCGGAAUCAUUGGGCGUAAAGCGCGCGUAGGUGGCUUCAUAAGUCCGUUGUGAAAGUCAAAGGCUCAACCUUUGAAAGCCGAUGGAUACUGUGAAGCUAGAGUACGGAAGAGGCAGUGGAAUUCCUGGUGUAGCGGUGGAAUGCGCAGAUAGUCAGGAGGAACACCAAUAGCGAAGGCAGCUCGCUGGGACGUUAACUGACACUGGAGGCGCGAAAGCGUGGGGAGCGAACAGG